AUUGAACGCUGGCGGCAGGCCUAACACAUGCAAGUCGAGCGAGCGGCGGACGGGUGAGUAAUGUCUGGGAAACUGCCUGAUGGAGGGGGAUAACUACUGGAAACGGUAGCUAAUACCGCAUACCCUCAGAUGUGCCCAGAUGGGAUUAGCUAGUAGGUGGGUUAACGGUUCCCCUAGGCGACGAUCCCUAGCUGGUCUGAGAGGAUGACCAGCCAAACUGGAACUGAUACACGGUCCAGACUCCUCAGGGAGGCAGCAGUGGGGAAUAUGGCAAAAUGGGCUCAAGCCUGAUGCAGCCAUGCCGCGUGUGUGAAGAAGGCCUUCGGGUUGUAAAGCACUUUCAGCGGGGAGGCGUUACCCGCAGAAGAAGCACCGGCUAACUCCGUGCCAGCAGCCGCGGUAAUAC
rnacentral:rRNA from 1 species